CCGCAAUCGCAUCUGUAUCGGUAGCUCCCCACUCUUCUUCGGCUGUGAAAUAUUUAUAACCCCCCACAGUAGGGCUCUCCUUUCUCCUCGCCUCUUUUUGCUCCUUUUAUGCCUUCCACCCGGGCUCCCGGCUCUGCUGAGCCGCACCAGGAACCACUUCAUUUUCAUAUAACUUAGAGAGUGGGGAAGCUGUGAAGAAUAAUUUAGAUUUCGCUCAGGGAAUGCGGUGCUUUUUUUAAUUGCAGUCAUCUGCAGCUUCUAAGCAAUGUAUUAUUGAUGGUUAUUAUUCAAAUAAAACAGUCAUUGCUUGUUUUCCCGUGGACGCAGUUGGCAGUGUUUAUGGAUUUCUUCUCUCUUUCUCCAUUUCUGGAAGAGGUCACCUUUCAUCUCGUAUGCAUUCUGCCUCUGCUGCCUCUCUGCAGCUCAUGCUGGGGGGCUGCAGGGCUGAGCUCUGCCCGGUGCUGCUGGGGCUGCAGAGCGAUCUAUGCUUUCCAUCCUCUUCCUCUCACUGGAAAAUACCAGCUGGGUGGCUGACAAUCAGUGCAGGGAGAGGGGAAAAGGGGGUUUGGUCACUGCACACUGGAGCUCAGUGCAGCAAAGCACAUGGAGUGGAGGAAACGCCUGCGAACACCUAUGCUAAGCAAUGCCAGUAGAAGCCCACAGCUCUCUGCCCAGCCAUUCCCAGAGCUCUGGAGGCAUGUUUUGGGGAGGGCCUUCUUCUCAGCGGCCUGCUCCUGACACUGCAGCACCACAGGGGGCUGUGAGGUGUCACAAAGGCACCCUGCCCUGGUCAGAGCUGCUGGCACAGCACUGUUCCCCAUCCCUGGAAGGAAGGCACUGAAAUAGGACUUGGAGAGCAGGACUCCUCCACUCCCCACUCCCCCAGGAGUGACAGCUUGCAAGUGACAGUGAUGCGAGCGGCUCUCCCGUGCUGUCACUUCUCCCUCCUCCCUUUCAACACUACCCACCACGUUGUCAUUCCCAGCAGCAGGGACUUUCCUCAGUCCCACCGAGGUCCCGGAGGUGUUACUGUGAUGCAAACACCGAGUGCGAGGUUCCUCCUCGAUGUGACGAAUGAAACAAGGUCAGAACCAAGGGGAAAAAUGUUCAUUUUGAGGUGGAGCAGAGGAUCUCCCUAUCUCCCUCUGACUUCCUGGGGAGGGGACAGGGGUGUCCCCAGGGCCCCAAGAGGUGGCCUUUGAGUUGCACUCACCAGUGCCAUGCAGAUCCCCCUGGGAAUCACCAUGGCUCCAAACACAGCAUCCUGUUACCCUGCCCACAGGUGUCUGGGAAGGGGCAGCUCUCCCUCAGCUGUAGCAGAUAAUUGGGGUCUUCAUCGAUUUAGGGCCUGCCGUCCCUCUGGCUACAAGUGGGAAGGCGAAGGGGUGGGGAAAGGAAAAGCGACAUCAGUCCCUGAGCUCCCGGGACUGAAGGCAGCCCUGAGCUGUGUGGAGAGCAGCCCUGAAGCACUUUGGGGACGAGUUCCUUAGCUCUGAAUGGAGAAAGAUUUCACAGACGCUCUGCCUGGUGCUCAAGGCUCAGUCAGUGUUUCCAUUAGAAACCCUGGGGUCCAAUCCUGCUCGCUGCCUCCCGGCACAGUGACAAAACCUUCCCUGCUGACUCCAGCACAGCCACGCUGGAUUUGUACCCUCAGAGAUGAGAUCAGGAUCUGGCCUCGGGUUUUGAUGGGUUUGUAUCUUGGCGGAUACAACUUGGCUGAUUCAAUUCAUUUUGGGCUAAAACUCCACCUACAAGUUCCCAGCCUGGGAGACAUUAAAGACAAAUUAUUAUGAAGUUUCAUACACUUUGUAAAGGAAAAUUAUCACUUAAGCCUAAUUUUUACAGAAGAACCUGGCAGACUGA